CAGCCGCCACGGUAAAACGAAGGGUGCAAGCGUUAAUCGGAAUUACUGGGCGUAAAGCGUGCGUAGGCGGUUUGUUAAGUCUGUUGUGAAAUCCCCGGGCUCAACCUGGGAAUGGCAAUGGAUACUGGCAAGCUAGAGUGUGUCAGAGGAUGGUGGAAUUCCCGGUGUAGCGGUGAAAUGCGUAGAGAUCGGGAGGAACAUCAGUGGCGAAGGCGGCCAUCUGGGACAACACUGACGCUGAGGCACGAAAGCGUGGGGAGCAAACAGGAUUAGAUACCCCUGUAGUCCCUGUCUCUUAUAC
rnacentral:rRNA from 1 species